UACGUAGGUGGCGAGCGUUAUCCGGAAUUACUGGGUGUAAAGGGUGUGUAGGCGGGAUUGCAAGUCGGAUGUGAAAUGCCAAGGCUCAACCUUGGAGCUGCAUUCGAAACUGUGAUUCUUGAGAGUGGGAGAGGUAAGCGGAAUUCCCGGUGUAGCGGUGAAAUGCGUAGAGAUCGGGAGGAACACCAGUGGCGAAGGCGACUACCUGGACCAGCACUGACACUGAGGCACGAAAGCGUGGGGAGCAAACAGG
rnacentral:rRNA from 1 species